AUCUAGCUGAUGAGUCCUAAAUAGGACGAAACGUGUCCCAUGGAU
rnacentral:hammerhead_ribozyme from 1 species